rnacentral:rRNA from 1 species
UUAAGUUAUUAAGGGCGCACGGUGGAUGCCUUGGCACUAGAAGCCGAUGAAGGACGUUACUAACGACGAUAUGCUUUGGGGAGCUGUAAGUAAGCUUUGAUCCAGAGAUUUCCGAAUGGGGAAACCCAGCAUGAGUUAUGUCAUGUUAUCGAUAUGUGAAUACAUAGCAUAUCAGAAGGCACACCCGGAGAACUGAAACAUCUUAGUACCCGGAGGAAGAGAAAGAAAAUUCGAUUCCCUUAGUAGCGGCGAGCGAAACGGGAAGAGCCCAAACCAACAAGCUUGCUUGUUGGGGUUGUAGGACACUCUAUACGGAGUUACAAAGGACGACAUUAGACGAAUCAUCUGGAAAGAUGAAUCAAAGAAGGUAAUAAUCCUGUAGUCGAAAAUGUUGUCUCUCUUGAGUGGAUCCUGAGUACGACGGAGCACGUGAAAUUCCGUCGGAAUCUGGGAGGACCAUCUCCUAAGGCUAAAUACUCUCUAGUGACCGAUAGUGAACCAGUACCGUGAGGGAAAGGUGAAAAGCACCCCGGAAGGGGAGUGAAAUAGAACCUGAAACCGUGUGCUUACAAGUAGUCAGAGCCCGUUAAUGGGUGAUGGCGUGCCUUUUGUAGAAUGAACCGGCGAGUUACGAUUUGAUGCAAGGUUAAGCAGUAAAUGUGGAGCCGUAGCGAAAGCGAGUCUGAAUAGGGCGUUUAGUAUUUGGUCGUAGACCCGAAACCAGGUGAUCUACCCUUGGUCAGGUUGAAGUUCAGGUAACACUGAAUGGAGGACCGAACCGACUUACGUUGAAAAGUGAGCGGAUGAACUGAGGGUAGCGGAGAAAUUCCAAUCGAACCUGGAGAUAGCUGGUUCUCUCCGAAAUAGCUUUAGGGCUAGCCUCAAGUGAUGAUUAUUGGAGGUAGAGCACUGUUUGGACGAGGGGCCCCUCUCGGGUUACCGAAUUCAGACAAACUCCGAAUGCCAAUUAAUUUAACUUGGGAGUCAGAACAUGGGUGAUAAGGUCCGUGUUCGAAAGGGAAACAGCCCAGACCACCAGCUAAGGUCCCAAAAUAUAUGUUAAGUGGAAAAGGAUGUGGCGUUGCCCAGACAACUAGGAUGUUGGCUUAGAAGCAGCCAUCAUUUAAAGAGUGCGUAAUAGCUCACUAGUCGAGUGACACUGCGCCGAAAAUGUACCGGGGCUAAACAUAUUACCGAAGCUGUGGAUUGUCCUUUGGACAAUGGUAGGAGAGCGUUCUAAGGGCGUUGAAGCAUGAUCGUAAGGACAUGUGGAGCGCUUAGAAGUGAGAAUGCCGGUGUGAGUAGCGAAAGACGGGUGAGAAUCCCGUCCACCGAUUGACUAAGGUUUCCAGAGGAAGGCUCGUCCGCUCUGGGUUAGUCGGGUCCUAAGCUGAGGCCGACAGGCGUAGGCGAUGGAUAACAGGUUGAUAUUCCUGUACCACCUAUAAUCGUUUUAAUCGAUGGGGGGACGCAGUAGGAUAGGCGAAGCGUGCGAUUGGAUUGCACGUCUAAGCAGUAAGGCUGAGUAUUAGGCAAAUCCGGUACUCGUUAAGGCUGAGCUGUGAUGGGGAGAAGACAUUGUGUCUUCGAGUCGUUGAUUUCACACUGCCGAGAAAAGCCUCUAGAUAGAAAAUAGGUGCCCGUACCGCAAACCGACACAGGUAGUCAAGAUGAGAAUUCUAAGGUGAGCGAGCGAACUCUCGUUAAGGAACUCGGCAAAAUGACCCCGUAACUUCGGGAGAAGGGGUGCUCUUUAGGGUUAACGCCCAGAAGAGCCGCAGUGAAUAGGCCCAAGCGACUGUUUAUCAAAAACACAGGUCUCUGCUAAACCGUAAGGUGAUGUAUAGGGGCUGACGCCUGCCCGGUGCUGGAAGGUUAAGAGGAGUGGUUAGCUUCUGCGAAGCUACGAAUCGAAGCCCCAGUAAACGGCGGCCGUAACUAUAACGGUCCUAAGGUAGCGAAAUUCCUUGUCGGGUAAGUUCCGACCCGCACGAAAGGCGUAACGAUUUGGGCACUGUCUCAACGAGAGACUCGGUGAAAUCAUAGUACCUGUGAAGAUGCAGGUUACCCGCGACAGGACGGAAAGACCCCGUGGAGCUUUACUGUAGCCUGAUAUUGAAAUUCGGCACAGCUUGUACAGGAUAGGUAGGAGCCUUUGAAACGUGAGCGCUAGCUUACGUGGAGGCGCUGGUGGGAUACUACCCUAGCUGUGUUGGCUUUCUAACCCGCACCACUNAUCGUGGUGGGAGACAGUGUCAGGCGGGCAGUUUGACUGGGGCGGUCGCCUCCUAAAAGGUAACGGAGGCGCUCAAAGGUUCCCUCAGAAUGGUUGGAAAUCAUUCAUAGAGUGUAAAGGCAUAAGGGAGCUUGACUGCGAGACCUACAAGUCGAGCAGGGUCGAAAGACGGACUUAGUGAUCCGGUGGUUCCGCAUGGAAGGGCCAUCGCUCAACGGAUAAAAGCUACCCCGGGGAUAACAGGCUUAUCUCCCCCAAGAGUUCACAUCGACGGGGAGGUUUGGCACCUCGAUGUCGGCUCAUCGCAUCCUGGGGCUGUAGUCGGUCCCAAGGGUUGGGCUGUUCGCCCAUUAAAGCGGUACGCGAGCUGGGUUCAGAACGUCGUGAGACAGUUCGGUCCCUAUCCGUCGUGGGCGUAGGAAAUUUGAGAGGAGCUGUCCUUAGUACGAGAGGACCGGGAUGGACAUACCUCUGGUGUACCAGUUGUCGUGCCAACGGCAUAGCUGGGUAGCUAUGUGUGGACGGGAUAAGUGCUGAAAGCAUCUAAGCAUGAAGCCCCCCUCAAGAUGAGAUUUCCCAACUUCGGUUAUAAGAUCCCUCAAAGAUGAUGAGGUUAAUAGGUUCGAGGUGGAAGCAUGGUGACAUGUGGAGCUGACGAAUACUAAUCGAUCGAAGACUUAAUCAA